AAAGUUCCUUGUUUCACCUGAAGAGCAGCACAGAGUAGCAUUCGCAUCUACUGAAAGGAGGCUAUUUUGUUUCUAAGACAGACAUUUUUAUUUCUCACAAUUCCAGGCCUUCGUAUUUUAUAUUGUAUAAUCAGCAAAAUUACUAUGACUUAACUAUGACUUAAGAAUACAAGAACAUUUCCACAAGGGCAAAUUCACCCCAAAAGACUGAGAAUUCUAAUUCUUUUUUUUCUUUUGGAGACGGAGUCUCACUCAGUCACCCAGGCGGGAGUGCAGUGGCGCGACAUGAUCUCGGCUCACUGCAACCUCCGCCUCCCAGGUUCAAG
rnacentral:lncRNA from 1 species